AACGCACCUUGCGCUCCUUGGUAUUCCGAGGAGCAUGCCUGUUUGAGUGUCAUGGUAUUCUCAACCCAUUCAGUAUUGUCAAAGAUAUUGAACUGGGCUUGGAUGUGGAGGAAAUUUGCUGGUCUCAGAUUGAGAAUCAGCUCCUCUGAAAUAUAUUAGUGUGAAUGUUCACCAAGCAUUCUCUCAGUGUGAUAAUUAUCUACGCUGUGAGUGCUUAGGUAAAAAUUGAAUUCAUGCUUCAAACUGUCUACAACAGUAGACAAUCUUUUGACAUCUGACCUCAAAUCAGGUAGGACUACCCGCUGAACUUAA
rnacentral:rRNA from 1 species